UUACCCCAUCCCAGCAAGUAACGAAACGAAACACGUCGAAAAUAUUGCAGUAGACAAGGAAGUUAAGGAAAAUGAAGUUGACUCUGAUUUUUGUGAGUGUAGUGUUAGCAGCUGUGAUCUGGACAGCACACUGUGAUGAUGAUGAUGAAAAGAAACCAAAGAAGCUUCAAAUUGGAAUAAAGAAGCGUGCAGAAAAAUGUGGUAUGAAAUCUCGUAAAGGAGAUACCCUUCAUAUGCAAUAUAGGGGAACGUUGCAUGAGACUGGUGAAGAAUUUGACAGCAGCUAUAGCAGGAAACAGCCAUUUGUUUUCACAUUGGGAACUGGACAAGUUAUCAAGGGCUGGGAUCAAGGUCUUCUAGGAAUGUGUGAGGGUGAGGAGAGGAAGCUAGUUGUGCCAGCAGAAAUGGGUUAUGGUGCCAGAGGUGCUCCACCUAAAAUUCCAGCUGAUGCAGCACUUGUUUUUGAAGUGAAACUGGAAACAAUAGAAAGACAUGGAGACUUGUAACAUAGAUUCAUGAUUAGAUUUAGUUCUGUAGUUAAUUACCUAUCACUAGUGCUUUAACUGAUAUCCCAGUACAACCCGUUUUUGGACAGCUAACGGUAUAUCGCUACGGUUUCGCUACGUGGAAAAUGUUCAACAAUUAUAAAUGCUGGAGUUUUGUUCAACAAUCAUUUAUCCUAAAAAUUACGCAAGUAAACAAACCUCAUCCCGCAGCAUGUUUUAGAUAUCCUUUCCAACAUGGCUGACCCACUUUUCCAUUAACCGGAAGUAGUACAACCCGUUUUCGGACACCUGCUUCAAAAUAUACUGCGCUCCAAAGUUUACGUCACAAAAAGUCAGAAACAGUUUAAACAAAUCUUGAACAUCAAAUGUAACUGUUAGUAACAAGAAAACUACCCAAAAUGUAUUUACAAAGUAUUUUCAGUGUUAGUUUAUGGAGUUAGUUGGUGGGAUAAGCACAAAUGGGACACAGGAACGUGUCUCCUAUUCUGAUUACCCUCACUGUUACAUACAAAAUGAUAAGUGUACCCAUCCCUUAAAUAUUAUCAGCAUAAGGUCUAUAUGACCCCCUAGUGGGCACAUGAUUCUGAAAAGAAACAGAGAAAAAAAAACUUUUCUACUACGAUUUAAAAUUUUAUUAACCAAUUGAUUAAGAAAACCUCGUAAGGUACACUGGUCUAUAAGUGGUAGCUUUUUGUGUGAAGUAUACUUUUGCAAAAUUUGAUAGUGGGGGCGGAGCCUGUAAAAUAACCUAAUCUGUCGGACGACCAGAGCUUUCAACAUGAAAACAUUGGAUUUAUUUCUAAAAACACAUAUUUUGGACGUGAUAUUUUGGGAAUAGUGACAAAAAAUAAAAAUGUAACAGUAUGUAAGUUUUUAUCAUUUGCUUACCCUUUUAAUUUCAAUUUUUCUUCAAAACUACCAGCGUGACAUUUGUAUGGUGUUUGUAAACAAAGCAUGCGUGUGGGAAACCGGAAGAGGCGUGUUUUCCAGGAAAACUAAAACAUUACCGGGGCCGGCCGAAUACGGGUUGUGUCCGAAAAUAGGUUGUCGCGGGAUAUUUUUUUAUUAUAAUACAUAGAUGUGCUUAAUUGUUUUCGUCUGUUUGUAAUCGUAUUUUUUUUUUAACUUUGUACAUUCUAAAAGAUUUGAAUUUUUGCAUUGGUGACUGUUUAUUCAAUUUAUUCUUUGUUAAAAAGGGUGCAUUGCUUUUAUGCAGUUGUUACACAAUUUACAUAAGCUUCAUAAUAUAUCUGUUCUUGAUUGUUAUUAUGUUCAAAUGACUUACAUUUUAUUGCUAGUUCAUCCUAUAUUAGAGAGAUCACAUUCGUUAACCUUUUGAUCAAAACAUUAUUCAUAAAAUUUCAUUAAAGUUCACAGUGCAAUUUAAUAUUUUGUUAUCAAAAAAAUUAUUAAGUACCGGCAUAUUUAUGUAUUUUCAACAUUAUUCUUUGAAACUUGUGUAGAUAUAUUAUUCUGGUUAAAUACAGUUAGUAGACUAUUGACUUUCAACAGUAAGAUAUAUAAGUGUGUUGCCACUACAGAAAAAGUAUCUAGCUACUUUCUUUUUGUGAAUACACAUGUCAGUAUAAUACACUACUGUCCUGAGUUUUUGGUCCUUCGUGUAAAUACAUUCUAGUCACUUUGAAACUUGCAUGCACUGUCAUAUCUUAUUGGCUCAUAAUUUGGGAUACUUUCAUAAAAUAAAGUUAGUAGAUUUGUUCACAAUUACAAUAUUUCAUAAACAGACUUACCUGUUUUUGCAUUUGUGUAGGAGAGCCAGCUCAGUAAUGAAAUCCAGAAUUGCUCUGUACUUAUUAGCCAUAAAAUAUUUUGUAUGCUUUUGGUUACAUGUACAUUUUCAUUUAUAAAUUUAUAAUUGAGUGGAUGUUACCUUUUUUAAAGGAAUUUUUGUAUGCCAUUAUCUAGAAAUGUUAUUCUUUAACUACAUAGAAAAUACACCAUUUUGUCUUUAGAAAUUUACAUUCUACAUUUAGAACUUUUCCUAUGCAUGCAGAAGUCUUCCUAUCUUUUAUCUUCUUUUUUUUUUGCUGACGAAAAAUGUUGACCAAAAGGCUCCAUCAGCACCAGUCAGGAAACUUGAGCUAGAAAAAUGUACACAUAAGAGUUACAUUCACAAAAAACGUGUCCUUGUGUUCAGCCUAGAAAAACAAGACUGAAUCAGAAAACUAUUUGUAUUAAAUUGUAUUACCAUCAUUUUGAAAUUGCUCAAAAGUUCCAAUCUAUAUCACAUGGAAGUCAUGUGACAUGAACAGUCAUUUCAGUUUUACAUUAGACCCAUCACUUCAUUUACUCAUAUAUGAUAGGAGCAAGCUGAACUAAGAUCUUAACAUUUUAUUAAUUUAUGUCAAAAGUCAGUAGUCUGGUUGAAUAUAUACGUGUGUGCUUUUUAAGUAAUCUGGAGUAAAGUGUUGUUGUAUGGUAUGUUAUUUCAGUAUAUUAAAUGUAUUUUUGGAUUAAAGCUUUCAGUUUCUCAUACUGUUUUUUCAAAGGCAAGUAUUACCCUAUAUGCUCAGCAGGGAAAGUUUUGAUAACAAAACCAUUCCAGUGUUCAAAGUUCAGUCAUUCGGUCUUCAUAUGGACCUAAAUAAUUUCUAACAGCGCUCAUUUUUGUAGAGCCUGCGUGCGGAAGCGAAGACAUAGUCCAAAUGGUUGUUCGGUGUAUGUGUGUUGGUGCGUCCAUUUGGAUUUGUUUAUUCAGACCAUAACUUUGACGUGCAUGGAGCAAUCUUUUAAUAUUUUGCAUGAAUGUUAACCUCUGUGAGACGGAGUGUAUCUGAACCCCAGGUCACAGUUAGAGGUCAAAGGUCAUGUCAGAUCUUGUCUGGCCCAUAACUUUGACACGCAUUGAGCAAUCUUGUUUAUAUUAUGCAUGAAUGUUUAACUCAAUGAGACGGAGUGUCAUGUGCAAACCACAGGUUCCUAUCUCAAAGAUCAAGGUUACCGUGCAUGGAUUGAUAUGUUGCCCAUGUGCAUCUAGUUUUCUGGAAGAUUUCAUUAGGAUUCAGAUUUAUUUUAAAUUUUAGUCUAUAAUAGUGAUUGUUUCUUUAGCUUCAUGUCUAAUUAGUAUUGUGUACUUGGAAUGGAUUAUUUUUUACAUAAUUGUUUUUACAUGGUAGUGUAAUUAUAGCUGUGUUGUUUUUGUGUUGUGUGUAAUGAAUGAAUGGUUGUAUUUUAUACUAUGUAUUGUUGAACUAAGAUAAACUAAAGUUAAAUAAGCCAAUUAUUGCAACUAUCUGAAAAUUGAUUGCAGGUAUUUGCAGCUUUUACUGCCAUUAUUACAAUUAACUUACUAAAGAACUUUUGUUCAGGAACAUUUGAUGUCAAGAAGAAAAUACAUAUAGCACUUAAUCCCAUGUUAAUUUUACUUCAAUUGCUCAGUAAUUAAAACAUAUGAGUAAUGUAAACAAAUGUAACCUGUGCUUAAUCUUAUGUUUUGAUAUUCAACCAAAACUAACAGUGUUGUUUGUGAAGAUGUUAUUUUCAUAGAAUAUGGAAUAAAAACAUUGAACUAAAGUUA
rnacentral:misc_RNA from 1 species